GAUGAACGCUGGCGGCGUGCCUAAUACAUGCAAGUCGAGCGAACAGACGAGGAGCUUGCUCCUCUGACGUUAGCGGCGGACGGGUGAGUAACACGUGGAUAACCUACCUAUAAGACUGGGAUAACUUCGGGAAACCGGAGCUAAUACCGGAUAAUAUAUUGAACCGCAUGGUUCAAUAGUGAAAGACGGUUUUGCUGUCACUUAUAGAUGGAUCCGCGCCGCAUUAGCUAGUUGGUAAGGUAACGGCUUACCAAGGCGACGAUGCGUAGCCGACCUGAGAGGGUGAUCGGCCACACUGGAACUGAGACACGGUCCAGACUCCUACGGGAGGCAGCAGUGGGAAUCUUCCGCAAUGGGCGAAAGCCUGACGGAGCAACGCCGCGUGAGUGAUGAAGGUCUUCGGAUCGUAAAACUCUGUUAUUAGGGAAGAACAAAUGUGUAAGUAACUAUGCACGUCAUGACGGUACCUAAUCAGAAAGCCACGGCUAACUACGUG
rnacentral:rRNA from 1 species